AGUUGGUGUCCGGGGCCUGCGCAGAAGAGGACAGUCCGCAAGGGGCGGAAGACAAGACAAAAAUGACUCCAGUUCGCUAGACGCGCAGAGGGGCGGAUAGCGCGCGGACCCCGCCUUCCCCAACCGAGUGUGGGUUCCAGUCGCUGGGGAGGACCUGGUGGCCCCCUGACCUUGGACGAGCCAUAUUGGACGCCCCGGCGCCGUCCCGUCUUCCACGCUGCCAACUCCACCGCUCCCGCCCCGAACUGCGGGUAGGUCCAGGCCGCCAGGCCCCGCCUCGCCGGCCCCAGCCCUGAUUGACACUGGAGUUGGUACAUACGGGUCUGCAGCGGAGGCGAGCAGGAGGGUGAGCGCUAUUUUAAACAUGGCUUUCUCUUUCCCUUAGCCUAGGAGCCACCGCAGCGCACCCAGCCCGCGAGUACAGCCGCAUGGGAAUAAUCCCAACAUUUGCCUGAUUUAUUUUCUUCCCUCUCCUUACGCUUGUACUUGUUUUUCUCCUCUCGCUGUUUUCCCUUCACACUAAUUCGCAACCUGGCAGUUUGCAAAGAGGAAACUCCCUUUCGGAAUGGAAAGCCGCUUUUGCUUCUUGUUGUUGGGGGUGGAAAACAUUCCAGCGAGAAUGAGUUCAAAAAGAAGGGAAACCGCGUCACUGGAGAGAAAGUAACAUUAAGAGAUCGAUGAGGACGGAGUGGGUAGGGGGGACAGAGAGAGGAACGUCUGCAACAGGCAUCUAAAAACAAGCGUGGAGGAGCAAAGAUUCCCAAUCCCCGGGUUACUACCGCGCGCGUUCUGCGCGAGCCAUUGCAAUGCCAGCAUUUACUGUAAGCAGAAUUUGAAGGCUUUUGAAAUCUUUUUUUGGUAAGACUUACCUUUCUCUUCGGCAUAAUGACUAUGUCGGUGAAGCAAAAAGUAAAGCAACGGACUGGAACUGCUGGCGCCGCCGCUGGAUGCUGCCUCUGCCUCUGCAGCUGCUCACGCGCAGGGCACGACGUAGCCCGGCCUCUUCGACCUGCACCUCCGCGGCUCCCUCUGGGGGCCCUCUGCUCGCCUCCCUGCUGCUCCAAUGAGGAGCCCCGCCAGCCGGCCGCGAGGCCCCAUUGGCUGAGGCAACGUUCUAAAUUCCACGAGGGCACGCCCACCUCCGCGCGCGGUACGCGCUGUUGUAGUUUCCACUUCACCGAAAAAAAUCUGCCUGGCGACUGAGCAUGCCCAGUUCAACUAGUAGCCUCCAGGCCACACAAUCCUGAAGUUUCAUUGUUUCGCUGCUCUCUCUUUGAGAUUGUAAGAAUAAGAACAGUGUGUGUCUUCAUAGGAAGGAAAAAGAGUAAGAAUGAAUACGUAAACUUUAUAAUGUAAAUAUAUACACAGCAGGUACCUUAUUCAUUUCCUACCCAUAAAGGCUUUUAAUGAAUGUUACAUGGUGGGAAUCUGUAAAGCGUGGGAAGGUACUCUGUACUGGAAGAGCGUGGCAACUUCUAAAGGCCUCAGUUUCCCCCCCUAGAUAUAUAGUGACAACAGUCCCUAAAAUCACUUAGCUCUAAUUUUCUGAAAUCUGUGAUUAUAAAUCACUCACUAAUUCAGCUAACUUCAAACUAGAUGUGAAGACGAAUAGGACAUGUUUGUUACGGAAAUUAGGAAAAGAAAGAACAAGGCAAAAACUGAUUAUUUUAUAUUUGAGACAUAUAUUUGAAUGACACCCGUCAUGUUACACUUUAUGCGUAAUAUUUCUCAAAGUUCUGCAAGGCAUAAAAUGAGCAUUGCAAAAAUAUUUCUGAAUUCAUUUUAUGAGACCAGAUUUACUCUGAUACCAAAACCAGUGAAAGACUUCAAAAGAGAGUUACAGACCAAUAUCACUCAUAAACAUAGACACAAAAGUCGUGAACAAAAUUUUAGUAAAUGAAACUCAACAACAUUUAAAGGGACAAUACAUCAUGACCUGUGGGGCUUAUCUUGGGAAUGCAAAGCUGCUUUUUUAAUAUCUGAGAAUCAAUCAAUGUAAUUGGCAGGAUUAAUAGAAUAAAGGGGGAAAAACAAUCCUUUCAGCAGAUGCAGGAAAAGCGCUAGUGAAUGGGUAAGCAAAUUGUGAUGAGCACAUGCAGUGGAAUACUAUUCAGCAAUAAAAAACAAUAAAAAAUUUUCCUACAUGGAUGAAUAUCAAAAACAAAGUGCUGUACGAAAGAAGUCAAAUACAAAAGACCACACUGAAUGAUUGCAUUCAUAUGAAAUUAUAGAAAAAGCAAAAUUGGGCAAAGUUAGUUUCAGAAUCAUCUUAGCAGGCAAAGCUCACAUCAUAGGAAAAUGUGUUGAAGCCUUACAUUACAAAUAUGGCCAAAUCCACUUUGGUAACACAGAGGCUGCAAAUAUGUAUUAAAAAUAUCAUGUAUUAAAUAUGUAUUAAAAAAGCAAUGAAGUUUAAUAUUUCACUUUUUCUUUAGUAAUUUUCAGAAUACAUUAAUUGAUCUAGUACUCUCCAGAGGUGGUUGAUUACUUUCUUUUUUGGAACAUCUUUAUGAACUCAUGGAUUUUUACAUAUUUGGUGUGCAUCAGUGUAUUGCUAUCAUUAUUAUUACCUUUUUAAUGCUCCUAUUACCACAUCUUUAGCCAAUGCAUACCCUUUCAAAUUAGUGCUUGUGUCCUUUUGACAUGAUCUUAAUCAUUUUUGAUAGAUUCCCUGUUCUUGGGCAUUCAGUGAAUGACAAUAGUAUACUGAAACGAAUUAAGAUAAAAACCAAUUGCUUAGAGCUAGAUAAAAAUUUACAAGUUAAUAAUUUUAUCAUUAAAAUAAUAUUUAUAAUGAAGAUGUCUUUCAAGAUAUUAAUUUGCCAAAUACUUGAUAGUUAAAUAAAGAAAAAGUCAGUGAAAACAUUUUUAGUAAGAUAUGUGUGAGAAGGAUACUGAGUAGCACUUGCAAUCUGGACUGGAUGGCUAUUUUUCUUCAUGGAGAUGGAAAGGUGCCACAACAAAGGUAGUGCUAAGGUGAAUAUUUCUCCUCUGUGAUGAAAAAUAACUCACAAAAUUGGCUUCUUUGUUAAUUUUUUUUCAAAACCAAACACUCAGAUCAUCAACAGCAAACAAAAUUGUGAAUGUUUUUACUGCACACAAUAAAAAUGCUACGAU
rnacentral:lncRNA from 1 species